CCCUCCACCACCAUACAGAUCAGAAUAAAUACCUACUUUGAUCCUGAUAUCCUGCACUGGCAAAGAACACAUAUUGGUAACCUAUUAAACUUUGGAACCACACACCAUGGAAGAGAAAGAUAAUAUGCUUUUUAAUGCAUAUAUGCUUGAUAAGAAGUCAAUUUUGAACCAUCAAUUAAUUUUGCAACAAUAACUCCCUAGUAUGCACAUGAGCAUUCUCACAACUCCUACCUGUGGUAGUACAACUCCUAUCAGCCAUCUGCAAUUGAAUGAAGGUUAAUAAUAAGAUUUUUUUUCCCUGGAUUCAAAGAUAGAAUAUGGCAUUUAAAACUUUCUUGCACAAACUACAGUGAGGCUAAAAAAAGCUCAAACAGAAAUAUACACUGGAUUAGAACAGAAUAGGCUAGCUGGAGUGAACAUUUCCUUGUCCACAUGAGUUCGAAUCUCAACCACUGCAGUUGUCUCAUUGCUUCUACCUAAUAAAAUUAGAUUAUUCGUCUUUAUGUUCAGCAUUUAGCAGGUUGGAAACAGAAACUCUGCAAGAACAUCAUAUUAUAAUGAAUUAACUUUCAGGGAAAUAACAAAUUAAAUGUUAAUCAAGCUGAAC
rnacentral:lncRNA from 1 species